GCGGCACGCCUAACACAUGCAAGUCGAACGAAGUAGCAAUACUUAGUGGCAGACGGGUGAGUAACAUGUAGGUAUCUGCCCUUUGGCCUGGAAUAACACGAGGAAACUUGUGCUAAUACCGGAUAAGUCUUUACGGAGAAAGCUUUAUGCACCAUUGGAUGAGCCUGCACUUGAUUAGUUUGUUGGUGGGGUAAUGGCCUACCAAGACUGUGAUCAAUAGCUGAUUUGAGAGGAUGAUCAGCCACAUUGGGACUGAGACACGGCCCAAACUCCUACGGGAGGCAGCAGUGGGGAAUCUUGCACAAUGGAGGAAACUCUGAUGCAGCGAUGCCGCGUGAGUGAAGAAGGCCUUUGGGUUGUAAAGCUCUUUCGUCGGGGAAGAAAAUGACUGUACCCGAAUAAGAAGGUCCGGCUAACUUCGUGCCAGCAGCCGCGGUAAUACGAAGGGACCUAGCGUAGUUCGGAAUUACUGGGCUUAAAGAGUUCGUAGGUGGUUGAAAAAGUUGGUGGUGAAAUCCCAGAGCUUAACUCUGGAACUGCCAUCAAAACUUUUCAGCUAGAGUAUGAUAGAGGAAAGCAGAAUUUCUAGUGUAGAGGUGAAAUUCGUAGAUAUUAGAAAGAAUACCAAUUGCGAAGGCAGCUUUCUGGAUCAUUACUGACACUGAGGAACGAAAGCAUGGGUAGCGAAGAGGAUUAGAUACCCUCGUAGUCCAUGCCGUAAACGAUGUGUGUUAGACGUUGGAAAUUUAUUUUCAGUGUCGCAGGGAAACCGAUAAACACACCGCCUGGGGAGUACGACCGCAAGGUUAAAACUCAAAUGAAUUGACGGGGACCCGCACAAGUAGUGGAGCAUGUGGUUUAAUUCGAAGAUACGCGCAGAACCUUACCAACACUUGACAUGUUCGUCGCGACUCUAAGAGAUUAGAGUUUUCGGUUCGGCCGGACGAAACACAGGUGCUGCAUGGCUGUCGUCAGCUCGUGUCGUGAGAUGUUGGGUUAAGUCCCGCAACGAGCGCAACCCUCACUUUUAGUUGCCAUCAUUAAGUUGGGCACUCUGAAAGAACUGCCAGUGAUAAGCUGGAGGAAGGUGGGGAUGACGUCAAGUCCUCAUGGCCCUUACGUGUUGGGCUACACACGUGCUACAAUGGCAUCUACAACAGGAAGCAAAACGGCAACGUUAAGCAAAUCCCGAAAAGAUGCCUCAGUUCGGAUUGCACUCUGCAACUCGAGUGCAUGAAGCUGGAAUUACUAGUAAUCGUGGAUCAGCGUGCCACGGUGAAUGCGUUCCCGGGUCUUGUACACACCGCCCGUCACACCAUGGGAGUUGGUUCUACCUUAAGGCAAGGUUUCAAACCCUUGACCACGGUAUAGUCAGCGA
rnacentral:rRNA from 1 species